AUUGCAGGAAACUCAAGCCCUGGUGCACCUCAGUUCCUCCUAUUCUCUGCUGCGGCACACAAUAAUCUAGUCUCCUGUGGGUUGUAAUACUUUGGUCUGAUUUUGGUUGUUGGGUUUAGUAUGUGGGUGCUGUGUGGUACUUGCAGCCUGUGAUAUACAGGAGGUCAAAACAGAUGAUCUGCUGGGCCCUUCUGGCCUUAAACUCAAUGACUCUGAUACUAGAGCAGGGGCUGAUGAACCUCACUCUUUUCACAAAGAAUGGACCAAUGAGGACAGAAGGUGAGUUAUCUAAGGAGAAUAGUGGCACUCAUGACUAGGGCACUGAUCCAGUUUACCUUGCGUGCAGAUAGUCAAAGGAAACUGCAGGAUGAGACAAGGAUGCCUGAAAGGCAUUGGAACGUUAGGCACCCUGAGAGGGGGAGAAAACUGCAAAUCCUCCUUUAAUUCAAAGAGAGUGAGUGUUUCACUGGAGGAGAGCCUGCCUGCUCUCAGACAAACUGAAGUAUGAACAUCAGGAAAAGCAGGGCACAAAAGGGGGACUGUAACAAGACACCUCCUGGGAGUACUGGAAACAGUAGGAGCCUGCCACUGUGGUCCUCUGGGGUGUCCCCACACAUCCCCUGAUUCUUCUUCCUCAGACUGAUCCAUCCUGUGUUAGCUUUCAUGGUGCAAGAACAUUAGUUAGGAAAAAAAAAAAAAAAAAGCAGGACCGUGGCUCAAAAUCUGCCCAAAGUCCAGGUAGCUGCUGAAAAAAGCAACCCUACAUACUUUGCACAACAAGCUGCAAUGUGGGGGCAUGAGCUGCGAACACAGAACACAGCGAGGGAGCUGGAACUUUGGACAUACAGUUGGUGAUUGGUUCAAUCGGUUUCUGUGCAAGUAAGCAGGCUGGGAAUCUAUUCUUAAGUUAGAAGAGUGUCCAGCCCUGUCCCAAGUGUUCCUGUGAAAACUGAUGCCAAAGUGGAAAGAGAAAAUAGGGGGAAAAUAAGUGUCUGAAAAGGCAGAAGCCAAAGGAAAAUUCCAGAAGAACCUCUGCCUCUAGAGACAGAAAUCUGGGAAGAGAUGUGCCUGUGGUCUCACAGGAAUGCCAGCAGUGCAGUAAAACAGACUUGGUAGGUGGGAGGGGAGAAUUACAAGAGGUCCUUGGAAAAGUGGAAAAAGGUGGGGUUUUCCCUAUUCUAGCUGAGCACAGAACUCCCACAAAAGGGAAAUUCCUGCCUUAAUGGUUGACAAAGCUGUGAUUACAGACACAUGAACAGAAGUUCACAAUACAAGAGCCUACAUUACCCUCUGUUUCUCCAAAGCAGGCAGGCAAGCAAAGAAAAGAUCCAACAACUUUUCAGAAUUCCUUAACAGGAAAAACAAGAAUCACUGAAUGUAGAUCUCACAGGUGUCAAAGUAAUUUCCUGCUUGCACCAGCAAAGGUGUUUCUAUUCCCUGCU